UACAGAGGGUGCGAGCGUUAAUCGGAAUUACUGGGCGUAAAGCGCGCGUAGGCGGCUUUGCAAGUCGGGUGUGAAAUCCCCAGGCUCAACCUGGGAACUGCAUUCGAGACUGCAUUGCUAGAGUAUGGGAGAGGGAAGUGGAAUUUCCGGUGUAGCGGUGAAAUGCGUAGAUAUCGGAAGGAACAUCAGUGGCGAAAGCGGCUCACUGGACUGGUAUUGACGCUGAGGUGCGAAAGCGUGGGGAGCAAACAGG
rnacentral:rRNA from 1 species